rnacentral:rRNA from 1 species
AUUGAACGCUGGCGGCAGGCCUAACACAUGCCAGUCGAGCGGAUGAAGGGAGCUUGCUCCUGGAUUCAGCGGCGGACGGGUGAGUAAUGCCUAGGAAUCUGCCUGGUAGUGGGGGAUAACGUCCGGAAACGGGCGCUAAUACCGCAUACGUCCUGAGGGAGAAAGUGGGGGAUCUUCGGACCUCACGCUAUCAGAUGAGCCUAGGUCGGAUUAGCUAGUUGGUGGGGUAAAGGCCUACCAAGGCGACGAUCCGUAACUGGUCUGAGAGGAUGAUCAGUCACACUGGAACUGAGACACGGUCCAGACUCCUACGGGAGGCAGCAGUGGGGAAUAUUGGACAAUGGGCGAAAGCCUGAUCCAGCCAUGCCGCGUGUGUGAAGAAGGUCUUCGGAUUGUAAAGCACUUUAAGUUGGGAGGAAGGGCAGUAAGUUCAUACCUUGCUGUUUUGACGUUACCAACAGAAUAAGCACCGGCUAACUUCGUG